rnacentral:rRNA from 1 species
AGUGAACGCUGGCGGUAGGCCUAACACAUGCAAGUCGAACGGCAGCACAGUAAGAGCUUGCUCUUACGGGUGGCGAGUGGCGGACGGGUGGGGAAUACAUCGGAAUCUACUUUUUCGUGGGGGAUAACGUAGGGAAACUUACGCUAAUACCGCAUACGACCUACGGUUGAAAGCAGGGGAUCUUCGGACCUUGCGCGAUUGUAUGAGCCGAUGUCGGAUUAGCUAGUUGGCGGGGUAAAGGCCCACCAAGGCGACGAUCCGUAGCUGGUCUGAGAGGAUGAUCAGCCACACUGGAACUGAGACACGGUCCAGACUCCUACGGGAGGCAGCAGUGGGGAAUAUUGGACAAUGGGCGCAAGCCUGAUCCAGCCAUACCGCGUGGGUGAAGAAGGCCUUCGGGUUGUAAAGCCCUUUUGUUGGGAAAGAAAAGCAGCAGGUUAAUACCCAGCUGUUCUGACGGUACCCAAAGAAUAAGCACCGGCUAACUUCGUG